rnacentral:rRNA from 1 species
GACGAACGCUGGCGGCGUGCUUAACACAUGCAAGUCGAACGGUGAAGCGAGUGCUUGCACUCGUGGAUCAGUGGCGAAUGGGUGAGUAACACGUGAGUAACCUGCCCAUCACUCUGGGAUAAGCACUGGAAACGGUGUCUAAUACUGGAUACGACCAACCCUUGCAUGGGGUGUUGGUGGAAAGAUUUAUCGGUGAUGGAUGGACUCGCGGCCUAUCAGCUUGUUGGCGGGGUAAUGGCCCACCAAGGCGACGACGGGUAGCCGGCCUGAGAGGGUGACCGGCCACACUGGGACUGAGACACGGCCCAGACUCCUACGGGAGGCAGCAGUGGGGAAUAUUGCACAAUGGGCGAAAGCCUGAUGCAGCGACGCCGCGUGAGGGAUGACGGCCUUCGGGUUGUAAACCUCUGUCAGCAGGGAAGAAGCGAAAGUGACGGUACCUGCAGAAGAAGCACCGGCUAACUACGUG